CGGCGGCGGCUUACACAUGCAGUCGAGCGGUACAUUUCUAGCUUGCUAGAAGAUGACGAGCGGCGGACGGGUGAGUAAUACUUAGGAAUCUACCUAGUAGUGGGGGAUAGCUCGGGGAAACUCGAAUUAAUACCGCAUACGACCUACGGGAGAAAGGGGGCAACUUGUUGCUCUCGCUAUUAGAUGAGCCUAAGUCGGAUUAGCUAGAUGGUGGGGUAAAGGCCUACCAUGGCGACGAUCUGUAGCUGGUCUGAGAGGAUGAUCAGCCACACCGGGACUGAGACACGGCCCGGACUCCUACGGGAGGCAGCAGUGGGGAAUAUUGGACAAUGGGGGAAACCCUGAUCCAGCCAUGCCGCGUGUGUGAAGAAGGCCUUUUGGUUGUAAAGCACUUUAAGCAGUGAAGAAGACUCUUCGGUUAAUACCCGGAGACGAUGACAUUAGCUGCAGAAUAAGCACCGGCUAACUCUGUGCCAGCAGCCGCGGUAAU
rnacentral:rRNA from 1 species